rnacentral:rRNA from 1 species
UACGUAGGGUGCGAGCGUUUGUCCGGAAUUAUUGGGCGUAAAGAGCUUGUAGGCGGUUUGUCGCGUCUGCGGUGAAAAUCCGGGGCUCAACCCCGGACUUGCAGUGGGUACGGGCAGACUAGAGUGUGGUAGGGGAGACUGGAAUUCCUGGUGUAGCGGUGAAAUGCGCAGAUAUCAGGAGGAACACCGAUGGCGAAGGCAGGUCUCUGGGCCACUACUGACGCUGAGAAGCGAAAGCAUGGGGAGCGAACAGG